ensembl:snRNA U6 U6 spliceosomal RNA
GUGCUCAUUUCAGCAGCACAUACAAUAAAACUGGAACAAUACAGAGAAGACUAGCAUGGCCCCUGCAUAAGGACG